rnacentral:rRNA from 1 species
AUUGAACGCUGGCGGCAUGCCUUACACAUGCAAGUCGAACGGCAGCACGGGGGCAACCCUGGUGGCGAGUGGCGAACGGGUGAGUAACAUAUCGGAACAUACCCUAGAGUGGGGGAUAACGUAGCGAAAGUUACGCUAAUACCGCAUACGAUCUAAGGAUGAAAGUGGGGGAUCUUCGGACCUCAUGCUCAUGGAGUGGCCGAUAUCUGAUUAGCUAGUUGGUGAGGUAAAGGCUCACCAAGGCGACGAUCAGUAGCUGGUUUGAGAGAACGACCAGCCACACUGGAACUGAGACACGGUCCAGACUCCUACGGGAGGCAGCAGUGGGGAAUUUUGGACAAUGGGGGCAACCCUGAUCCAGCAAUGCCGCGUGAGUGAAGAAGGCCUUCGGUUGUAAGACGUCUUUUGUUC